UGGGGAAGGAUGAGAAGCUUCGACUAAGGUUCGACUCGAGCGAAGCGAGAGAACGUUGCCGCAGGCAACGGCCCGAAGGGCGAGGCGCUUUAGCGCCGAGUAAUCCUUCCCCCACCACCA
rnacentral:sRNA from 1 species